rfam:Gossypium raimondii Chr05_contig_989, whole genome shotgun sequence.
AUGCCAUGAUAAGGCACUUUCGUAAUAACUCCUUGAACUGCUCCUAUGCCUUAGAUAAACAUACUUUGUCAAGUUGCUGAAAUGAAGUAAUUUCAUUUCAGAUCUU